AGCUUUCUGGGAAUAAAUUUGAACUUAAAUUUCAGUCUUAAACUGAUUUCGAGUUUCAAAGUUAUUUUGUGAUAGUUGAGUUUUCAAGAAAAAGAUUACAAAAAUGGCAUGGUCUCUCGUCUUGAUGUCUUCAUGUGUCCAAUAAUUCUUUCUGAAUUUUUGUAAAUUGUCCCAUAUUAGAAAUGAUGAUGAUAGCAAAACUACUGAUGGGGAGGGUUGACAUAAAAACAACUGUCUUUUAGCUUUCACUGACAAGUCCAUCUAAAACUUGGUCGGUAAUUAUCUUCUUUGGCAUAUUUUUUUUUUAAAUCAUCGGAUAUCCUAAUGUGUAGUAAUUAUAACUGUCUAUUCGUCACGAGCACAUCACUUAUGAAAGGCCUUUGAAUUGGCUAUUUUUUGGUUAAUUGGUAGGUGGGGAUAUCCUUGCGCAUUAUUAACACUGGACUUUUACAGUUUUGCUUGAGAUGUUUAAACCUUCCUAGUCGACCAAGGUAUUCAGCAUUCUUGAAGACAAAGUUGCAGGUAAUACGUACUCUUUGCCUUUAGGAUGAAAUGUUCGCGAAGCUAGAUUCUUAUAUGCCUUUUUCCCAUGUUCUUGCUUGCAGUUCCUUUUGGAUUUCUUUGCUAAAAUCACUGUACACUUUAGCUGCAACUGGAUUAGAAGUCCAAAACAAAGAAGAGAGGGAGGGAGGGAGGGAGGGAUUGGGAAUAAGUAGUAUUUCGUUUCUUUUGUAUGAAAAAACUUUUAAUUUUUAGAAAGCUCCCGCUCUAUUAUGUGUUUUAUUUGUAUUGCAAGGUCAAAGAGAAAAUUUGCAAGAAG
rnacentral:lncRNA from 1 species